GAUGAACGCUGGCGGCGUGCCUAAUACAUGCAAGUCGAGCGAACGGAUGAGAAGCUUGCUUCUCUGACGUUAGCGGCGGACGGGUGAGUAACACGUGGAUAACCUACCUAUAAGACUGGGAUAACUUCGGGAAACCGGAGCUAAUACCGGAUAAUAUUAUGAACCGCAUGGUUCAAUAGUGAAAGACGGUUUUGCUGUCACUUAUAGAUGGAUCCGCGCUGCAUUAGCUAGUUGGUAAGGUAACGGCUUACCAAGGCAACGAUGCAUAGCCGACCUGAGAGGGGGAUGGGCCAAACUGAAACUGGGACAGGGCCCAGCCUCCUAGGGGAGGAGGAGGAGGGGAUUCUUCCGAAAUGGGCGAAAGCCGAAGGAGGCAAGGCGGGGGGGGUAAUAAAGGUCUUCGGAUCUAAAACCCCUGUUAUUGGGGAAGAACAAUUGUGAAAGUAACUGGGCACAUCUGAACGGUACCUAAUCAGAAGGCCACGCCAACCACGGU
rnacentral:rRNA from 1 species